rnacentral:rRNA from 1 species
AGAGUUUGAUCCUGGCUCAGGAUGAACGCUGGCGGCGUGCCUAACACAUGCAAGUCAACGGACUCAUACUGAAACCUAGUGAUUUAUGAGUUAGUGGCGACGGGUGAGUAACGCGUGGAUAACCUGCCGUAUACCGGGGGAUAACACUUAGAAUAGGUGCUAAUACCGCAUGAGCGCACAGCUCCGCAUGGAGCGGUGUGAAAAACUCCGGUGGUAUACGAUGGAUCCGCGUCUGAUUAGCCAGUUGGCGGGGUAACGGCCCACCAAAGCGACGAUCAGUAGCCGGCCUGAGAGGGUGGACGGCCACAUUGGGACUGAGACACGGCCCAGACUCCUACGGGAGGCAGCAGUGGGGAAUAUUGCACAAUGGGGGAAACCCUGAUGCAGCGACGCCGCGUGAGUGAAGAAGUAUCUCGGUAUGUAAAGCUCUAUCAGCAGGAAAGAUAAUGACGGUACCUGACUAAGAAGCCCCGGCUAACUACGUG